UACAGAGGGGGCAAGCGUUAUUCGGAAUUAUUGGGCGUAAAGGGCGCGUAGGCGGCUUGGCAAGUGGAUGGUGAAAUCCCUCGGUUCUAACCGAGGAACGGCCGUCCAAACUGCUUCGCUUGAGACCGGGAGAGGUGAGUGGAAUUCCCAGUGUAGCGGUGAAAUGCGUAGAUAUUGGGAGGAACACCAGUGGCGAAGGCGGCUCACUGGACCGGUACUGACGCUGAAGCGCGAAAGCGUGGGGAGCAAACGGG
rnacentral:rRNA from 1 species